rnacentral:rRNA from 1 species
AUGGCUCAGGAUGAACGCUAGCGGCAGGCCUAACACAUGCAAGUCGCGGGGCAGCACGGGUAGCAAGUACCUGGUGGCGACCGGCGCACGGGUGCGUAACGCGUAUCGCAACCGUGCCCCCAUCAGGGGGAAUAGCCCGCCGAAAGGCGGAUUAAUGCCCCAUAGGCCCAGGGCGCCGCAUGGCGCUAUGGGUAAAGCUCCGGCGGAUGGGGAUGGGCAUGCGUGCCAUUAGCUAGUUGGGGCGGUAACGGCGCACCAAGGCGACGAUGGCUAGGGGGUCUGAGAGGAUGGUCCCCCACACUGGUACUGAGACACGGACCAGACUCCUACGGGAGGCAGCAGUGAGGAAUAUUGGUCAAUGGGCGGAAGCCUGAGCCAGCCAAUGCCGCGUGCAGGAUGACGGCCCUACGGGUUGUAAACUGCUUUUCCCCGGGAAGAAUAAGCCCCUCGUGAGGGGUGAUGCCGGUACCGGGGGAAUAAGGAUCGGCUAACUCCGUGCCAGCCGCCGC